AACUUUCAACAACGGAUCUCUUGGUUCUGGCAUCGAUGAAGAACGCAGCGAAAUGCGAUAAGUAAUGUGAAUUGCAGAAUUCAGUGAACCAUCGAAUCUUUGAACGCACAUUGCGCCCGCCAGCACUCUGGCGGGCAUGCCUGUCCGAGCGUCACC
rnacentral:rRNA from 1 species